rnacentral:rRNA from 1 species
UACGUAGGGAGCAAGCGUUGUUCGGAUUUACUGGGCGUAAAGGGCGCGUAGGCGGCGCGACAAGUCACUUGUGAAAUCUCCGGGCUUAACUCGGAACGGUCAAGUGAAACUGUCAUGCUAGAGUGCAGAAGGGGCAAUCGGAAUUCUUGGUGUAGCGGUGAAAUGCGUAGAUAUCAGGAGGAACACCAGUGGCGAAGGCGGCUACCUGGCCCAUUCUUGACGCUGAGGCGCGAAAGCUAGGGGAGCAAACGGG